UGCGGGGCCGCCGCCGCCCGCAGGAGCCGCCGCCGCCUAUUGUUCAUGCGCCUCCGCAGAGCUGGGAGGACCCCCCCCCAACGACGGCGGCCGCAGAUCCCUUUUACAGUUGGAUUCUCCCUCUUGGAUCUGGCUCUGCCUUAGUCCGACCUAGAGGGAUCAGCUUCGCCCACGCCCACUCUCACCCGGAACCUUUCAUCUCUUAUUGAAGCCUUUUAGGCCCAUUGGGAUGUUCAUUAGAACUCUGAAAACUACAGUUCUCCCCUUUAUGAGGACUGCACCACAGCUCGCCCUCUCCUGGGUUCCGGUAAGAAGAGAUUCCAAUACCACUCUUUUUUCAGAAUUCAGAAAGGCAAGAGACCACCUUACUGAGCUUCAAACUGGGGCUGGGAACGCUGCCAUGAAUUGGGCUUGGUCUGUCUGAAGGGAGCCACCUUUUCGACAAUCCUUAGACUUCUUUUGCCUGUUGGAAUUACACCUUGGAUCGUGGCGAAGUCUAUAGAGGUCAGAUUAAGAAGAACCAAAGCAGAAUAAACGUAGAACCCGAUGCUGAGUUCACGAGUGAGGACGACCUCUUCCUAUAUGCUUUGCUAUACCCUGCGUUUUGAACAUUAAGGACGAGAUAGGAGGCCCAUAAUGUUUCUUCUUGCUUUAAUCCUGUCGUGGCAACGUUGACUUCCAGUAAGAAAGCCUGGUUGCAGAGUGAGCCCAUGGGACAGCCCUCUGAAAUUAUACUGCUUACAACCAUGCUGAGUCUGCAAGGACUUCGUCCAAGCCUUUCCGUCCAGGACCUCAAACAGAUCCAAUCACAAGAAGAGAGAUUUCAGGAAAGAGAAAAUUAUUCCUAUCAUCGGGGUUUUUGAAGAACAUGAAAUGACUGGGAAAAUAAUCAUGUUAAGUGGAAAAAAAAAAGAAAUCUAUCUGUUGUAAUUUUCAAAUAAUUUUUAAAUAAAUUUGAAAAAUUAAGAGAACUAUAUAUAUAAUACAUUCCUAAUCUUGUGAAAAAUAUAUAUGCAUUAAUAUUAUUGAAAGAAAUAUAUCAAAAGGUGAACAGCAAUUAUCACCAAUCUAGAUUAUGAGAUUAGGAGUGAUUUUUUUUCUUUGUCCUAUACUAUUUAAUAUUUUCUACCAUUAAAAUAUUCUGAUUUUCUAAUUAGAAUAGUACGUUAGACAAAGAAGGACAAAUAUCACAUGAACUCUCACUCUCUUAUGGAACAGAUCUUGUGGAAUCUAAAAAAGUUGAACUCAUAGAAAAAGAGGAAAAUGAUGGUUACCAGUUAGAAAAAAGGAAUAAGUUCAAGAGAUCUAUUGUACACCAUGGUCAAUAUAGUUAACAAUAUAUUUUAUACUUUAAAAUUGCUAAGGUAGUAGAUUUUAAGUGUUCUCACCACACAAAAAAAUAAGUAUGUGAAAAGCAUAUGGUAAUUAGCUUGAUUUAACCACGCCACAGUGCAUACAUAUGUCAAAACAUCAUGUUGUAUACUAUAAAUAUAUACACUUUUUGUCAAUUUUAAACAGGUUAUAAAAAAACAUGUUAUUGUUGAUAAUUAUGAAAAAUUUUAAUGAUGUGGAAAUGUGUACAGUAUAAUGAUAAAUGAAAGAGUAGUAAAAAUCCUUAUAAAAUAUAA
rnacentral:lncRNA from 1 species